rnacentral:rRNA from 1 species
AAGGGAGAAAUUCAUUCGCGUUUCGCAGUCGGCGUGAGGCGAUCGAGUGACGGAAUGCGUCUUCGGAUGUUUUCUGCACCUUUUGUUUUUCGAUCCGAUAGCGAACGCGUGCACUUUUCUCCUGGUAGGACGUCGCGAUCCGUUGGGUGUCGGUCUACGGCUCACGGUGGAGCCCGGAUGUACGGCUUGCCGUCACGUCCGGACCCGUGUGUCCCGGCUGACUCGCUCGACGGUAUACGAAAGGUUUAAGGCCGCUCUCGCGAGCGUUCGGCUCGUCGCAAGCGCGUUAAAUGUGUCGGUGAUCGGACCUAGUGCCGGUCCUGACCUUUGACGACUGUUGGCGGCGAAGUUCUCGAACAGUGCUUUAACCAAUCUGCGACGCUAUAGCUUUGGGUACUUUCAGGA